CCAGCCCUUUAACACCAAAGCUUAACGGCGAGCCUCUUCCACCACAGCUCAAUCCACUGUCCACGUGUCCUCAGAACCCAGCCGAUCCCCGACCGCACCCUCGCCGACCUCCAAUUGGUGCCGAAGGAUCCUCUCGCCGGCGCCGCGAAAUCCCGAGAUCUCAAAAGGUCGCGCAAUCUAGCCUCUCAAUUUCUCUUUUAUACUAAUUUUGAUUCUAUGGCUGCAAUCAAUGUUAUGAAAAUCGGGCUAGGCGGCUAGGCGCCUCCACCCCGUCGCCGUUUUCACGUUUUGAACCAAAACUGGAGUCGCCCUCUCUCAGUCUCUCCCUCUCUCUGCGGUCCGGCCGCACGAUUCUCAGGCUCUCGGCGGCUCAACCUCUCUCCGACUGUCGGAGUCGCCGGUGACAACG
rnacentral:lncRNA from 1 species